GACGAUGUACAAUUCACUUCAAGACUCAAAUACCACUAUAUGAUAUUUUCCACUCGAAGACUCAAAUACCACUAUAUGAUAUUACGACAACCGCACUAACCAGGAACAGAUUCAAUUCAGUCUACAAGCAACUUUCUCAUAAGAAAUACUCAAUCCUUUCCUGUUAAAAGCCCAAAUUUAAUUCAGCCAACCUAUAAUGUAGUAGAAAAGGAUGCACAGGCUUUGCUCAUUACCAUUGAAAGCAACUCUCUAUUAAGAGAUGCUCAAGCCUUCGCUGUUGAAAACCCAAAUUUAAUUCAGCCAACCUAAAAUGCAGUAGAAGAUACAGAGGUCAUGCUUACUUCUGCUGAAGAUAUAGAUUUAUUUUAUUUAUUAUAUUAAAUUUUUAGGUGC